rnacentral:rRNA from 1 species
AUACGUAGGUGGCAAGCGUUGUCCGGAUUUAUUGGGCGUAAAGCGAGCGCAGGCGGUUUCUUAAGUCUGAUGUGAAAGCCCCCGGCUCAACCGGGGAGGGUCAUUGGAAACUGGGAGACUUGAGUGCAGAAGAGGAGAGUGGAAUUCCAUGGGUAGCGGUGAAAUGCGUAGAUAUAUGGAGGAACACCAGUGGCGAAGGCGACUCUCUGGUCUGUAACUGACGCUGAGGCUCGAAAGCGUGGGGAGCAAACAGGAUUAGAUACCCUGGUAGUCCACGCCGUAAACGAUGAGUGCUAAGUGUUGGAGGGUUUCCGCCCUUCAGUGCUGCAGCUAACGCAUUAAGCACUCCGCCUGGGGAGUACGACCGCAAGGUUGAAACUCAAAGGAAUUGACGGGG